GAUAAAUAAGUGAGUGGGUACUUGAGAGGAAUCGAGCAAAAUUGUAUUAUCGCACUAGGGAAGGACUUUAAAUUCGCAGACUGAGUGGUAUUCUUCAUGUGAAAACGCGAAUAGUUUCGAUUCUCCGCAUUGCUUAAUUCUUGCAGAAAGUAAGGAUCACCCACACCUAGGCGACAUAGUCAGAAUCGCGUGCGAACAGUGAUUUGGAAAAUCAAGAAUUUAAGAAACUCGAAAAAAAAACUUGAUUAACUUAGUGACAUUUUCAUAAAUCCUAAAAUGAAAAUGUUAGUGGCGUGCCGCGCAAUCCGAAUGAGAAACAAAUACAUUUUCAGUUUCCUUGUGUUGCGUUCAGUGCGAUUCAACUCGCUGCAUCUUCACCAGGACAAUUCAGCAAAGCUCUUCAAUGGAAUUGGAUGUUCCGUCUGAAUUGAGUAAAUCAGACUUCGAGAGGCUGUACACGGGAGGUAUGUUGGAUGAGCGCAACGAAGAAAAAUUUGCACAAAUUCAAAGGCUCCGUCAUCUCCAAGGGUCAAAAAGAUUGGGAGCAGAACACGGGCUAGUUGGAGAGCUCGAUUAUGCAGAUGUCAUACUUCGUUUAUACAGGCAGAAAGACAAGGACAAAUAUUACAAGCUGAAAAUCGACGAUGCGACCAACUUUAAGGAAGCGCCCCUGAACAAAUCGCUUGAAACAAAGAUCAUCAUACACGGAUGGAUGAAUAGUGGAGAGAGUUGGUUCCCAAUUCUGAUGAAAAUAGUAAGUAUCUUAAAGUAAAUAGAUUAUUUUAUUGCGAGUGCAUUUAUAGUUACAAUAUAAUAUGCUGAGAGGAUGUUUUUUCCGGUUCGCGUUAUACAGCAAGCACUGGCGAUGAACCACAAGACAGGAUAAGAAAAUGAUGACUACUGCACUUAAAUGUUUCCUCUUCAAGAUGUUAUGUUAAAUACGGUGAACACAUUAAACAAUGGGUUAGUUCCGCUCGUCACAGAAUCGUGUUAUGGUGCUUGAUUCUUGAAAUCAGCUAAAAUAAAUAAGAUCCGUCCAAACAACAACUUUCUACGUUCAAUUUUAUAACCGAGAUACCGCGCUUGAAAAAUUCGGUUUAUGACAUCAUCCACCACGGUAUUAACAUCUUUGUUUUCUGCUUUCAUCCGAGUAACUAGUGCAAAUGUAUGUCUCCCUGACAAAUGAAAGCUAGGUGGAAUAAACCAAGGGUGUCACUACUGCGGUGGAUGACGUCAUAAACCGAAUUUUUCAAGGUGCGAUAUCUCGGUUAAUAUUCAACGAAAAAACUGCUAUUGGACGGAUCUUAUUUUUUUUGGCUGAUGUACAAAAAUCAAGCGUCAAAACACGAUUCUGUGAUCAGCGCAACUGACCUAUUCCAAUAUUAGCUCAUAAAGUGACGAUAUUGGAGCUGGGAGUAAUCAAGGUAGAUUUACACAGGUAUGGACAAGUUGAAAAUUUCCCAUGAGCCUCAGUACGUGUCACAUGACCUCGUGGCGUAGGUUAAGGGGCCCGUUUUUUAAUUAA
rnacentral:lncRNA from 1 species